rnacentral:rRNA from 1 species
UCAUGCGUCGCAUUAGCUAGUUGGCGGGGUAACGGCCCACCAAGGCGACGAUGCGUAGGGGUUCUGAGAGGAAGGUCCCCCACACUGGUACUGAGACACGGACCAGACUCCUACGGGAGGCAGCAGUGAGGAAUAUUGGUCAAUGGCCGCAGGGCUGAACCAGCCAAGUCGCGUGAGGGAUGACGGUCCUAUGGAUUGUAAACCUCUUUUGUCAGGGAGCAAAGGGCGCCACGUGUGGCGCUUUGCGAGUACCUGAAGAAAAAGCAUCGGCUAACUCCGUGCCAGCAGCCGCGGUAAUACGGAGGAUGCGAGCGUUAUCCGGAUUUAUUGGGUUUAAAGGGUGCGCAGGCGGAAUGUCAAGUCAGCGGUAAAAUUUCGGGGCUCAACCCCGUCGUGCCGUUGAAACUGGCGUUCUUGAGUGAGCGAGAAGUAUGCGGAAUGCGUGGUGUAGCGGUGAAAUGCAUAGAUAUCACGCAGAACUCCGAUUGCGAAGGCAGCAUACCGGCGCUCAACUGACGCUCAUGCACGAAAGCGUGGGUAUCGAACAGGAUUAGAUACCCUGGUAGUCCACGCAGUAAACGAUGAAUACUAACUGUCCGGGCAGAAUGAUGCCUGG